rnacentral:rRNA from 1 species
GGCUACUGCCAUCAGAGUUCGAUUUAGCCAUGUUAGUCGAGGGUGCUUCUUCUUCGGGAGAAGUAACCCGGCGGACGGCUCAGCAACACGUGGAUAACUUGCCCUUGGGUCUGGGAUAGCCCCUGAGAAAUUGGGGACAAUACCAGAUAGGCCAUCGAUUGCUGGAAUGCACGAUGUCCAAAAGCUGAGGCGCCCAAGGAUAGGUCUGCGGCCGAUUAGGUUGUUGUUGAUGUAAUGGACCAACGAGCCUGCAAUCGGCACGGGUUGUGAGAGCAAGAGCCCGGAGAUGGGUUCUGAGACACGAUCCCAGGCCCUACGGGGCGCAGCAGGCGCGAAACCUUUACAAUGUGCGAAAGCACGAUAAGGGAACUCUGAGUGCCUCCUAUGGAGGCUGUUCAGGUGUCUAAAAAGCACUUGAAGUAAGGGCUGGGUAAGACCGGUGCCAGCCGCCGCGGUAACACCGGCAGCCCAAGUGGUAGCCACGAUUAUUGGGUCUAAAGCGUCCGUAGCCGGCCAGGUAAGUUCUUUGGGAAAUUUAAUCGCUCAACGGUUAAGCUUUCAGGGAAUACUGCUUGGCUUGGGACCGGGAGAGGUCAGAGGUACUUCAAGGGUAGGGGUGAAAUCCGUUAAUCCUUGAGGGACCACCAGUAGCGAAGGCGUCUGACCAGACCGGGUCCGACGGUGAGGGACGAAGGCUAGGGUCGCGAACCGGAUUAGAUACCCGGGUAGUCCUAGCUGUAAACGACGCGGGCCAGGUGUUGGCAUUACUGCGAGUGAUGCCAGUGCCGAAGGGAAGCCGUUAAGCCCGCCAUCUGGGGAGUACGGUCGCAAGGCUGAAACUUAA